UGGGGAAUAUUGCGCAAUGGGGGAAACCCUGACGCAGCAACGCCGCGUGAAGGAUGAAGGUUUUCGGAUUGUAAACUUCUUUGAUCGGGGACGAAAAUGACGGUACCCGAGGAACAAGCCACGGCUAACUACGUGCCAGCAGCCGCGGUAAUACGUAGGUGGCAAGCGUUGUCCGGAAUUACUGGGUGUAAAGGGCGUGUAGGCGGGAAAGUAAGUCAGAUGUGAAAUACCGGGGCUUAACUCCGGGGCUGCAUCUGAAACUGUUUUUCUUGAGUGUCGGAGAGGAAAGCGGAAUUCCUAGUGUAGCGGUGAAAUGCGUAGAUAUUAGGAGGAACACCAGUGGCGAAGGCGGCUUUCUGGACGACAACUGACGCUGAGGCGCGAAAGCGUGGGGAGCAAACAGG
rnacentral:rRNA from 2 species